rnacentral:rRNA from 1 species
UACGGAGGGUGCAAGCGUUAUCCGGAUUUACUGGGUUUAAAGGGUGUGUAGGCGGGCUUUGUAAGUCAGUGGUGAAAUCUCCGGGCUCAACCCGGAAACUGCCAUUGAUACUAUUAUCUUGAAUUUUGUUGAGGUAGGCGGAAUAAGUCAUGUAGCGGUGAAAUGCUUAGAUAUGACAUUAGAACACCAAUUGCGAAGGCAGC